rnacentral:ncRNA from 1 species
CCCCAGUUCGACAAAACGCACUGCGUUUUGGACGCCCGUCAGGGCGCCCCGCAAGGGGUGAGUAAUCCGCCAAUGCGGAUUGCGAAUCAAUCUC